CACAAGGUUGGACUGACAUUCAAGUAAGAGAGAAUGUCCUGAACUGCAACAGUGAACACAAUGUAGAUACUUUGUUUGUACAUUUUUUCAUUAAGUCAGUCAGUCAAUUCAAUCUGAUGACAUUUAUAGGAUAUGUUCUAGGGUUAGGCACCGUGUUGUCAUAGGAACACACACUAUGAAGUCACUUUCUUAUGUCAUGGAGAUUCUAAAUAUCUGUAAAAGCAAAGAAACAAGAAAAUAGAUACGUCAGGCUUGGUGAUGCAUGCCUGGUGGCCACAGUACUUAGGACAUCAGCUUGGCAGCGAAACCUGAGGGCCUGAGUUUAAGCCCUGAGACUCAAACAGGAAAAAUUUCACUUCUCCAAGUUAUCCUAUGUCUGCUACACAAGUACCAUGACAUGAAUUUCAUAACCUGAAAAGAAUACUGAGGAUUGUUUUAGAAUGGAAAACAUUAUUUUACUCCUGUUAUAUAUAUGACAGCAUACAACGUAGCUCGAAGAUUUAAACAGUUUCCUAUCUCCUGUCAUGAGAAAACGUUUAUGUGUAUAUGGAGAGGUUUCCAUUACACAAGAAGAAUCCUGAUAAAGGAAACAUUCAAGUAUUUUUCUGAACACAAACUUCUUCAUGCAAUAUUUGAAUGUACCUCUGACAACAGACCUGGAAAUAAAUAAAUGAACUGUAGUUUUGAA